rnacentral:rRNA from 1 species
AGUGAACGCUGGCGGCAGGCCUAAUACAUGCAAGUCGAACGGCAGCACAGCAGAGCUUGCUCUGUGGGUGGCGAGUGGCGGACGGGUGAGGAAUACAUGGGAAUCUGCCCAGUCGUGGGGGAUAACGUAUGGAAACGUACGCUAAUACCGCAUGCGCCCUAAGGGGGAAAGCCGGGGACCGCAAGGCCUGGCGCGAUUGGAUGAGCCCAUGUUCGAUUAGCURGUUGGCGGGGUAAAGGCCCACCAAGGCGACGAUCGAUAGCUGGUCUGAGAGGAUGAUCAGCCACACUGGAACUGAGACACGGUCCAGACUCCUACGGGAGGCAGCAGUAGGGAAUAUUGGACAAUGGGCGCAAGCCUGAUCCAGCCAUGCCGCGUGAGUGAAGAAGGCCCUCGGGUUGUAAAG